CACCAGACUCCUACGGGAGGCAGCAGUGGGGGAUAUUGCACAAUGGGGGGAACCCUGAUGCAGCGACGCCGCGUGGGUGAAGAAGUAUUUCGGUAUGUAAAGCCCUAUCGGCAGGGAAGAAUUUAGACGGUACCUGACUAAGAAGCCCCGGCUAACUACGUGCCAGCAGCCGCGGUAAUACGUAGGGGGCAAGCGUUAUCCGGAUUCACUGGGUGUAAAGGGAGCGUAGACGGCCAUGCAAGCCUGGAGUGAAAGCCCGGGGCCCAACCCCGGGACUGCUCUGGGAACUGUGCGGCUGGAGUGCGGGAGGGGCAGGCGGAAUUCCUGGUGUAGCGGUGAAAUGCGUAGAUAUCAGGAGGAACACCGGCGGCGAAGGCGGCCUGCUGGGCCGUGACUGACGUUGAGGCUCGAGAGCGUGGGGAGCAAACAGGAUUAGAUACCCGAGUAA
rnacentral:rRNA from 1 species